UAUUAUGAUUACAUUUUUUCUUGUAUAACUUUUAAUUUCUCCUGUAGUUAACAACUGGCUCUUUUUUCAGUUGGUUAGUUUUUUAAUGUAUCUAGAAACUUCAGAAGGUGAGGGAAAGCAUCGAACCUUGCUGUGCCUCUGAGAGCAAGGGCUUUGGAAGCAUUACCAGCAAUUUCAUUUAGAGAAUUGCCCGAGAGUAGGUCUCCAGCUGGCAUGUAUGUGGGGUCAGUGGGGAAACUGCUCCUAGGAGACAGGAUUCAUAGGCAACAUAUGGCAGAGGGUUCGAAUGCCUUGGGAUCUUACUGGGAGGCAGAAACAGAUAAAAAGCCCACAAAGAAAGAAGAGCAGUAAGUGUUUCUUUGAGAAGUUGCAGGUUAGAAAUGAGAGGAGCUUUACUCAUAAGAAGCACCUGUGGUUGCAUGAGAAAUAAUUUACACAAAUUCCAUGCCCAGAGUGUUAAGUAUGUAGAGCUCAAAGGGAAAGAGGAAAUUAAGACUUUUUAAAUAUGUGGGAUCAAGGGGCAAAAUUCCAUCAAGACUGGAAUGUCUCAAAUGCUCUGACUGCGCGAUAAAGCAGUGCAUAUUUUUUCCCCUCAGAUAGGGGAAGCGUAUUAUGACACUUUACCUCUCACUGCGAGAUUUCCUGGAAAUGAGUUUCAUCUCACAGAUUGCAAGCCUCAGACUACUGCUCAGAAAAUGAAUGGCAUCCUGAUCCACUGAAGAUAAAUUUUGAGAUGAAUUCUUUUCCACGUGGAUAGCCAAUUGUUUCAGCGUCUUUCUUUAAAAAGAAGUUUAUUUGCUUACAGAAUAGUUUUAUCAUCUUUCAAGGCAAUUGGAAAAAAGAAAGCAUUGCACAUAGUCAGGAAAUGGAACUCCUCAUCAUGGUGGCAAGCAGGAAGACAAGCAACAGAGACCAUUUUCUUCUGCAAAAAAAAAAAGAGUUCCGGAGGUCGGAAGUCUUACAUGGGUCUCAAUGGGCUGAAAUCACGAAGCCAGCAGGGCUGUGCUCCUUUCUGGAGGCUCAAGGGGAGAAGACAUUUCCUUGUCCUUUCCAGCUUCUAGAGGCUGCCUGCAUUUCUUGGCUCAUGGUUCCCUUCCUCCACACGCAAAGCCAGCAAUGGGUAAAUUACAGAAGUCUUUGUCCUGGUUCUGACGUCACUAAGGUUGUUCAGCAGUUUAAUUAUCCACGACGGGCUACCGGAAGGAGCUGA
rnacentral:lncRNA from 1 species